rnacentral:rRNA from 1 species
UACAGAGGUCUCAAGCGUUUGUUCGGAUUCAUUGGGCGUAAAGGGUGCGUAGGCGGCGCGGUAAGUCGGGUGUGAAAUCUCGGAGCUUAACUCCGAAACUGCAUUCGAUACUGCCGUGCUUUGAGGACUGGAGAGGAGACUGGAAUUUACGGUGUAGCGGUGAAAUGCGUAGAUAUCAGGAGGAACACCGGUGGCGAAGGCGGGUCUCUGGGCAGUAACUGACGCUGGAGGAGCGAAAGCGUGGGUAGCGAACAGG